rnacentral:rRNA from 1 species
CAGAGGUGCAUCAGGGUGACCAUCCACCAUUGUUUCUUCGAAAGCACGCGGCAGAGGCACCCACACCCGCGGUUCAGCAAGAUCUACAUUUCCAACAACUACACCAAGGACUGGGGCAUAUACGCCAUAUGCACCUGCGUCGAAGCUCAGAUUGUAUCCCAGCGUAACAUAUAUGGAGGACAGAAGACGACUGCUUUCAAAUACAUGCCGGAGAAGGUACCUGCAUAUUCACACAUAAUGAGAUGA